rnacentral:rRNA from 1 species
AUUGAACGCUGGCGGCAGGCCUAACUCAUGCAAGUCGAGCGAGCGGCGGACGGGUGAGUAAUGUAUGGGGAUCUGCCCGAUAGAGGGGGAUAACUACUGGAAAAGGUGGCUAAUACCGCAUACUAUCGGAUGAACCCAUAUGGGAUUAGCUAGUAGGUGGGGUAAAGGCUCACCUAGUCGACGAUCUCUAGCUGGUCUGAGAGGAUGAUCAGCCACACUGGAACGGAGACACGGUCCAGACUCCUACGCGAGGCAGCAGUGGGGAAGAGUGCACAAUGGGCGCAAGCCUGAGACAGCCAUGCCGCUUGUGUGAAGAAGGCCUUCGGGUUGUAAAGCACUUUCAGCGAGGAGGCGUUACUCGCAGAAGAAGCACCGGCGAACUCCGCGCCAGCAGCCGCGGUAAUUC